AACGAACGCUGGCGGCGCGCCUAAUACAUGCAAGUCGAGCGAGAAGACGUAGCAAUACGUUUGUAAAGCGGCGAACGGGUGAGGAAUACAUGGGUAACCUACCCUCGAGUGGGGAAUAACUAGCCGAAAGGUUAGCUAAUACCGCGUACGCUCCUUGGACUUCGGUUCAGGGAGGAAAGCGAUACCGUGGGUAUCGCGCUCUUGGAUGGGCUCAUGUCCUAUCAGCUUGUUGGUGAGGUAACGGCUCACCAAGGCUUCGACGGGUAGCUGGUCUGAGAGGACGAUCAGCCACACUGGCACUGCGACACGGGCCAGACUCCUACGGGAGGCAGCAGUAAGGAAUAUUGCGCAAUGGGCGAAAGCCUGACGCAGCGACGCCGCGUGGGGGAUGAAGGUCUUCGGAUUGUAAACCCCUUUCGGGAGGGAAGAUGGAACGAGCAAUCGUUCGGACGGUACCUCCAGAAGCAGCCACGGCUAACUUCGUGCCAGCAGCCG
rnacentral:rRNA from 1 species